rnacentral:rRNA from 1 species
GACGAACGCUGGCGGCGUGCUUAACACAUGCAAGUCGAACGGUGAAAGCGGAGCUUGCUCCGCUGGAUCAGUGGCGAACGGGUGAGUAACACGUGGGCAACCUGCCCCUCACUUCGGGAUAACUCCGGGAAACCGGGGCUAAUACCGGAUAUGACCUCCUUGGGCAUCCUUGGAGGUGGAAAGUUUUUCGGUGAGGAUGGGCCCGCGGCCUAUCAGCUUGUUGGUGAGGUAGUGGCUCACCAAGGCGACGACGGGUAGCCGGCCUGAGAGGGCGACCGGCCACACUGGGACUGAGACACGGCCCAGACUCCUACGGGAGGCAGCAGUGGGGAAUAUUGCGCAAUGGGCGAAAGCCUGACGCAGCAACGCCGCGUGCGGGAUGACGGCCUUCGGGUUGUAAACCGCUUUCAGCAGGGAAGAAGCCGCAAGGUGACGGUACCUGCAGAAGAAGCACCGGCUAACUACGUGCCAGCCGCCGCCAUAA